GUUAACAAACAUUUAAAUUAUUUAUAUUAAAUUAUUUAAGAUUAUUAUUAUUUUAAUAGCAUUUUAAAAUAUUUUAGUCAUGAUACCUAUUCUAAAAUCUAAAUGUAUAUGUUAAAUAUUAUCAUCAUUAACAACAAUAAAACUAAAUACAUUUCGCUGCUUUAUCACACUGAAACAACUCCUAUUGGUAGUUUUAUUUUAUUACUUUGAUCAUGAUUGGUUAAUCUGGCUGUCAUUCAGGAAACUGGACAAUGAAUCGGUUCGCGCCUUUCUACAUUUAAAAACAUGACCGUUAUUGUCGUCUUUCUGUGAGUGAGGCGGCUGACUGUGAGCUGCUGCUCGUUAUAACUGGGUGCUCGGUAAGUCCCGAAUUAUUUAAAAUUUGCCGGUUAAUUAUUUUUUUUGAGCGAAUUUGAGUCGUGACAUGUCAAAGGAGAACAAAAACUGUGAACACAAGAAGGGUCAGAUGUGUUCUGCGAGGUCCUGCAAACAUACUGGCAAAAUGAGAGAUUUUUCCACAUUUUCCUGAUAUGAAUCCCAUGCAUUAGAGUCAUCAAGGAUCCAGCUUAUUCUUGAAACAUUGG